GGGCCCGUAGUCUAAUGGUAAGACGCCUCCUUCGCAGGGAGGAAUUUCGAGUUCGACUCUCGACGGGUCCA
rnacentral:tRNA from 1 species